ACUCAAAGGAAUUGACGGGGGCCCGCACAAGCGGUGGAGUAUGUUGUUUAAUUCGAAGCAACGCGAAGAACCUUACCAAGUCUUGACAUGCCGGACAAAGCUAUAGAGAUAUAGUGGAGGUUGAAGGACACAGGUGGUGCAUGGUUGUCGUCAGCUCGUGUCGUGAGAUGUUGGGUUAAGUCCCGCAACGAGCGCAACCCUUAUCUUCUGUUACCAUCAUUCAGUUGGGGACUCAGGAGAUACUGCCGGUGAUAAGCCGGAGGAAGGUGGGGAUGAGGUCAAAUCAUCAUGCCCCUUAUGACUUGGGCUACAAACGUACUACAAUGGCGUAUACAAAGAGCUGCUAGCAGGCGACUGUAAGCGAAUCUCAUAAAGUACGUCUCAGUUCGGAUUGAAGUCUGCAACUCGACUUCAUGAAGUUGGAAUCGCUAGUAAUCGCGAAUCAGCAUGUCGCGGUGAAUACGUUCUCGGGCCUUGCACACACCGCCCGU
rnacentral:rRNA from 1 species